UACGGAGGGUGCAAGCGUUAUCCGGAUUCACUGGGUUUAAAGGGUGCGUAGGAGGGCAGGUAAGUCAGUGGUGAAAUCCCCGAGCCUUAACUUGGGAACUGCCGUUGAUACUAUCUGUCUUGAAUGUUGUGGAGGUGAGCGGAAUAUGUCAUGUAGCGGUGAAAUGCUUAGAUAUGACAUAGAACACCAAUUGCGAAGGCAGCUCGCUACACAAUUAUUGACUCUG
rnacentral:rRNA from 1 species